AUGCACGCUGGCGGCGUGCCUCAUACAUGCAAGUCGAGCGCACAGACGAGGAGCUUGCUCCUUUGACGUUAGCGGCGGACGGGUGAGUAACACGUGGAUAACCUACCUAUAAGACUGGGAUAACUUCGGGAAACCGGAGCUAAUACCGGAUAACAUGUUGAACCGCAUGGUUCAACAGUGAAAGACGGUCUUGCUGUCACUUAUAGAUGGAUCCGCGCCGCAUUAGCUAGUUGGUAAGGUAACGGCUUACCAAGGCAACGAUGCGUAGCCGACCUGAGAGGGUGAUCGGCCACACUGGAACUGAGACACGGUCCAGACUCCUACGGGAGGCAGCAGUAGGGAAUCUUCCGCAAUGGGCGAAAGCCUGACGGAGCAACGCCGCGUGAGUGAAGAAGGUCUUCGGAUCGUAAAACUCUGUUAUUAGGGAAGAACAAAUGUGUAAGUAACUAUGCACGUCUUGACGGUACCUAAUCAGAAAGCCACGGCUAACUACGUG
rnacentral:rRNA from 1 species